UACGUAGGGUGCAAGCGUUGUCCGGAAUUAUUGGGCGUAAAGAGCUCGUAGGCGGUCUGUCGCGUCGGAUGUGAAACCUCGGGGCUCAACCCCGAGCCUGCAUUCGAUACGGGCAGACUAGAGUUCGGUAGGGGAGACUGGAAUUCCUGGUGUAGCGGUGGAAUGCGCAGAUAUCAGGAGGAACGCCGGUGGCGAAGGCGGGAUCCUGGGCCAGUACUGACGCUGAGGAGCGAAAGCGUGGGUAGCGAACAGG
rnacentral:rRNA from 1 species